rnacentral:rRNA from 1 species
AUUGAACGCUGGCGGCAGGCCUAACACAUGCAAGUCGAGCGGAUGACGGGAGCUUGCUCCUUGAUUCAGCGGCGGACGGGUGAGUAAUGCCUAGGAAUCUGCCUGGUAGUGGGGGACAACGUUUCGAAAGGAACGCUAAUACCGCAUACGUCCUACGGGAGAAAGCAGGGGACCUUCGGGCCUUGCGCUAUCAGAUGAGCCUAGGUCGGAUUAGCUAGUUGAUGAGGUAAUAGCUCACCAAGGCGACGAUCCGUAACUGGUCUGAGAGGAUGAUCAGUCACACUGGAACUGAGACACGGUCCAGACUCCUACGGGAGGCAGCAGUGGGGAAUAUUGGACAAUGGGCGAAAGCCUGAUCCAGCCAUGCCGCGUGUGUGAAGAAGGUCUUCGGAUUGUAAAGCACUUUAAGUUGGGAGGAAGGGUUGUAGAUUAAUACUCUGCAAUUUUGACGUUACCAACAGAAUAAGCACCGGCUAACUUCGUGCCAGCAGCCGCGGUAACAC